UACGUAGGGUGCGAGCGUUGUCCGGAAUUACUGGGCGUAAAGAGCUCGUAGGUGGUUUGUCGCGUUGUUCGUGAAAACUCACAGCUUAACUGUGGGCGUGCGGGCGAUACGGGCAGACUGGAGUACUGCAGGGGAGACUGGAAUUCCUGGUGUAGCGGUGGAAUGCGCAGAUAUCAGGAGGAACACCGGUGGCGAAGGCGGCGUUCUGGACUGUAUCUGACACUGAGGAACGAAAGCCAGGGGAGCAAACGGG
rnacentral:rRNA from 1 species